UCUCCUCCCCUCUGACAAAGAGCACGUGGCGUGAGGAUAGGUGGGAGAGGCUUGGAGGAAGGGUUGAGAAGAGGUGGGCGGGGAUGCCUUACGCUCUUUUUCACAGACGGGCUCUUUUCCACAUCCAGCAUGUCUAGGACCAGGUGGAACACUUGUGGGCUGCGGAUCCCCAGGACACCCUGGCAGAGGCAGGAUGAGGGCGCCUAAAUAGCCGGCCCCAGGAAGAUGCCCUGUCUACACUCUUCCAUUCUAGUGCCCUUGUAAUGACCCUGUGCCUGGAGAGGAGAUAUGGCUUCGCAGCAGAGUAACUGCUGGACUGCCUGCUCCCCCUGCCAUCAAAACAUCUGGUCAGAGUAGCAGAGCUGGCCUUACCAAAGAGAUGACUGCUUCCUGGCGUGCAGUGGCAUUUGAGCUCAUCAGUUGCCUGGAGAAGGGACCUAGGAUUUGGCCCUGGCAGUUCCCAGCCCAAGCCACUCACGCCUCCACCAAGUUCAUCAUUGUGGGCUUCAUCUUGAGCUCUUCCACAGUUUCAGCAACAGCCUGCCUCAUAGCCUGAAGAGGGAUUAAGAAAGGAAAGUACUUUUCUGGAUACCAAAUACGCUGAGUUGGGGCACGAGCUGAGGACAGAGCUGAGGGAACCACAGACGACCAACCUCAUCCCCAUCUUUAAAUCCCAGUGAACGAUUCUGCUGUGUGAACGCCUGCCCAUCUGACUCACCACACUGGCGGUCGAGAGGAUCAAGGGAAGUGAUGACAGUGGACGUGCUUAGGAGACCGUCAGGCUCCCAGGCAGAAUUGGGAGGACGGUCCCCUGCCGUUGUGAGAGAAGGACUGGCUGAUGACUUUGAACUCCAGAUGGAAGAGCAGCAAAGCCCAGAUCUCAGUGAGCCCACGCCAUCCCUGGGGGCAGCUGGCAGAGAUGCUCCAAAAAGGAGGGAUGUGGGAAGAAAUCCCAACAGGGUUUGGGAUACAUGCCAUUUGGGAAUGCAGACCCUGCCCCUCCCAGUGUCCCCAUCCUGCCCGUUCCCUGCAAAGAGGGCAGGAUGCCCAUACCAAGCCCCGAAGACAAUGGCCCGGGGGCCGGGACACCCAGAUCUGCAGAACACCCCACCUCACCUCUGCUGGCUUUGCGCCCCUCACCCCUCAUUCCCUCCUCAGUCUCCCCAUCUGUGAAGAGGUGGUUAACUGGAUUGAUGGUCUUUACAUGAAGUUUCCUGGAGGCACUGAUGCACUUGGGAGUUCAGUCUUGGGUAUAAGACCCCAUCAGCCUUUUUGUCUGUUUUA